GAUGAACGCUGGCGGCGUGCUUAACACAUGCAAGUCGAGCGAUGAAGCUCCUUCGGGAGUGGGUUAGCGGCGGACGGGUGAGUAACACGUGGGUAACCUGCCUCAUAGAGGGGAAUAGCCUUUCGAAAGGAAGAUUAAUACCGCAUAAGAUUGUAGCUUCGCAUGAAGCAGCAAUUAAAGGAGUAAUCCGCUAUGAGAUGGACCCGCGUCGCAUUAGCUAGUUGGUGAGGUAACGGCUCACCAAGGCGACGAUGCGUAGCCGACCUGAGAGGGUGAUCGGCCACAUUGGGACUGGGACACGGCCCAGACUCCUACGGGAGGCAGCAGUGGGGAAUAUUGCACAAUGGGGGAAACCCUGAUGCAGCAACGCCGCGUGAGUGAUGACGGUCUUCGGAUUGUAAAGCUCUGUCUUCAGGGACGAUAAUGACGGUACCUGAGGAGGAAGCCACGGCUAACUACGUGCCAGCAGCCGCAGUAAUAC
rnacentral:rRNA from 1 species